rnacentral:sRNA from 1 species
UACGGCCUGCGGGCUACAUCCGGGCAGUGACGCAAUGCUAUGCGCCCAAGAUCUGCCCACAGUGUAUUAAGAAGCCAAUGAGACACAGUCCCAUUGGUCUUGGCGAUUUCUUUUUUUUUUUUUCGGCCUGUGACAAGCGUGCCGGAAAUCGAUAUGAACCCAAGAUUUAAAAUGUUUGAGCAUCACUGACAUACAAAACUAAAUCCAAGACGAGGCAGGGGGAAUACUACACAACAACACGGGCGUCACUUCGAAGAAGAAAAUAACUACAUUCUACACACCCAUGUGUCAAUCUAGCCGUGAGUGUUAAAGUCAUUGGUUCUCCUGGCUAAUUAUGGCAACCUGUUCCAUGCUCUAAAUGCGUUAAGAAAGAAGAGUGCUUGUAAGAAUAUGCCCAAGCAUAUUGAGGAAAUGCUCAUUUCUAAGCUCCUUUUGAGGCUGUACGUUGAGAUUCGUCUACACAUUUCAGAUUGGUUUUACAAUAUCGCUAACUACAGUUUACAAAUGGAAGUAUACACUACAGAAGAUAUUGGACAUGCGAUUUCUUUAAACUUAAAUCUGUUAAGAGAAUAGUGUAUACAUUAACUAUUAAACAGAAAAAAGCGGAUAUCGCCAAAGUUA